AUAGAAAAAUCCUGCGCCGAGCUGGGGCACACACUUGACUUCCUAACUGAUGAAGAAUUCUUGCAGCCACAUGGGAAGGCGGCAACGGGAAGCCGCCUCUUCUAUCUCCAUGUGUCACGGGGCCAGUAGAACACAGCGGCUAAAGGUCCAGGCACCGAAUGCAUAUUCCAGCGCCCCAACUCCUUUUGGGCAGCGAGUCUGCUGGAGGAUCUCAGAAAACAGGGUCAGAAAACAGGCUCCAAAGAAGUCACACACGUUGUCAGUUCUAACGUAUCACCAAGACCCUGCAGAAGUGACCUGCACUAUGGAACCAAGCAGGACCCUAUGGAGCCUUCUCAGAAUCAAACCUCACCCGUGUCCUCUGCCUGCCUUUUGUCUGUAGAAAAGUUUUGGUCAAAGAGUAAAUUUCAUCGGAGAAAUGAGAAAAUGCAGAACGAAAGGAAAACAGUCAAGCAAGACAAGGUCAUGAUAUUUUAGCCUUUCAACAAAGUGAAGGACCUUGAGUUCUUCGACAGUAUUCUGAGCCAUGUCUCUGAGCUGUUCUGCAGAUACUGAAACCCCCACCCGGGGGGAAGACGUCAGCUGCGUGCUGUCCCCAAGCACAGAGACCCCAGAGCAUAAGGAACCAGCAGGUUGAUGACACCUACUCCUCAUUACCUCACCACCAACCAGUCAGAAGAAUGUCCAUGAGCUGGUCACCCCUUGCUCCUGGAAGACUCGGGGUAAGACUCCUCUCUGCCCCCUCCAGGGUGGGCGGGAUGCACUGUUUUGGGGGCAUUUGCCUGUCAAAGCAAUAAAGUGAUUUCUUUCUCCUUCACCCCAAACUCUGUCGCCAAGAUUGAAUCCAGCACCAGUGUACGGAGACCUAAUUUCUGGCAACAACCUCACAGUCGUGCAUUUUGAGUCGGGAGCAGAAUUUACAAUAUUAGCUCACCUUUCCAGGAGACACUUGAAAACAAGCGGGAGCCUGUGGGGCCCUCCCAGGGACAAGGAUACAAAUUCUUUCUCUCUCCCCCAUUUCUUGUUUGCAGGAAAUAAUCUUCUUUCAGCCUCCUAGACCUUCCCAGAUUCCUCAAGGGCAGAUUCAAACAGUUGCUAAUCAGGGAAGAGAGGGGAUGCAGGGACCGGGGAGGAACAGUCCAGAGACCACAGUGCAGCCUUGGGGCAGGAUCCUGGUUCCUCCUCAAGGAAUGGACUUAACAAUCUCCUUGGGCUCUUCUACAGGAACUAAGCCCCCCACACCCAGGUGGAGGAAGGCUGCUGAACCAAGAUUCCUGGAGCACUGCCCCGUUACCUCAGUCAGAAGAAAGCCAAACGACCUGCAGCCCUCAUCCAAAUUUUACCUACGAAAACAGCCCAGAAAGCCAUCAGAGAGUUGGGAUUUUUGAACACCUUGCUUGGCUCUGUAAUAAACCCUUUUCUGCCCCAAAUUCCCAUGUUUCAGUUUGUUUGCCCUCACUGUGCCUUGGGCACAUGAACUUGCAUUUUUUUGGCAACACAUCCACUUCCAUCUUUUAUCUAUUUACAUAUAGAGUAUAUUUGUAAAUAUGAAGUCUGAUACUUUUGUGUUCGUGUUUUAUAUACAUAAAUGAUGGUAUAAAUCACAUGCUAUUACUAUUUUCCAUUUAAUACUGUGCUUUUAAACAUCCAUCUAUUUG
rnacentral:lncRNA from 1 species